AGCGGAGGAGGCGAUGGCGACGACGAGGCAGCGGGACUCGGCUUCGCGGGUUUGGUGAACGCCGGUGGUAUUGCGGUGGAGGUCGGCUUCCGAAGGCAGCGUCGAGAUGGCGCUCCUUUUGUGACCCUCGUUUGCAUUUAGCGAUCCGACCCAACCCAACACAAACUCGGGUCGAGCCAAUUUGAUCCAAUUCGAUCCAUCGCAUCACAUAAAUGCCCC
rnacentral:lncRNA from 1 species